AUCUCUUUCCCAAUCCAAAAUUUAACUUUUCUCUUAAAUUAUUCCAAAUCCAUCUCUUAAAUCUUUUUCCCAAUCCAAACACGGAAAUGGAGGGAGUAGAAUGAUCAAAAGCAAUUGCGAGUAGAGUCAUGUUUCAGCACAAGCCCGGUCACUUCUGUAAGGGUCAUGGCAUCACUCGUGGUCAUCGUGGCUGGAGAAACAUUUAACUGCUCUCUGUUGUUUGCGCUGCCACUGGACAGCCUCUGCUACCUGUGCUGUCACUGGGCAACCUCUGUUCUCUGCAACUUCUUACUUGAGUGAGAGGUGUAGGUGGUGAUUGAUGGGAGAAAGGAGCUAUUUUUGCUUACUUUUUUUUAAGCUACUUUUUUCCUUGUUGAGAGGGGAUGACGACUGAGUAGCAAAUGUCCUAGGGUUUUCAGGUGAGAAUGAUUUUUUUUGCUGUUUUUUAUUAAUAGUGUAUUAUACUAUUAUAUAAUCUAUAAUAUUUAAAAACUAUAGAAAAUAUAGAAAUUUAUUAUAGAAUAGAGACAAUUAUAUAACAUUAAUACUGAUAAUACAUAAUUAUAUAUAAUCAGAAGAAUAUGAUAAAGUAGAAUUUUAAGGUAACAUAAAAUAUUAACAAAUAAUUAAUUCACGAAUAUUAAGUUGGUUAUUUUAGUUAAUUGAAAUAAACUUCUCUGUAUUUUAAAUAUUUUUCUUAUAAUACCUUUAAUAGUAUUGGGACUGUCUAUAUUAUUUUUUCCAUUUAAUUACUUUUCACCUAAAUAAUUAAUCAUAGAGAGAAUAGUGAUAAGAGUAGACUAUGAAUUUUCUCCAAAUCUUCGUAGGAGAGAAAUGGACAAUUGACAUUACUUAUUAUUUAUAGGCUAAAAUAAUUAAGGGUAUUUGGGUAAAAAAAUAAUUAAUGCAAUAGAAAGUUAGAAUAAAGCAUAUUAAAAGAGACAAUAGAAUUUCAAAACUAUGUAUUUUACUUAGGUAGGAGGGAUUAAUCAGAAGUAAAAACAUUUAUGUUUGACACAUCUUCUACCCCGAGUUCUGUGGCUGUACAAGCAAUUCCGAGUACAAAUCCAUUUGGAACACUUCCUACAAUGCCUCAGAUAUCAAUCGGUCGAGUUGGAACCACUCCUUCAAUGCAAUAUGGAAUCUCUAGCAUGCCUAUAAUUGCACUUUCUUGGUUUUAACUUUUUUAUUUUGUUGAUUUUUAUGCUAAUUUAAGGUUAAAUUAUUCAACUUUUUUACCAUAAACUGUGGUCAAGAAUUGAAGGUAACGAGUUCAAUGACACGUCAUUUCAGGCACUAGACAUUGUCUGCUGCUCCUGUUAGAAUAUCGACUUUAUUAACAUCUCGGCAUCUCUCACAAAGACGAAUAUGGCUUAUGAAAAGCUUAAUCAAUUGUGUGAUAUUUUUGUUUUGCAAGUUUUUGGAUGUCCAUGUUAGUAUAGUACUAUCAUUAUCAUUGCUCAUAGAAAAAAGUUUAAUGAAUGUGUUGGUGGUUUUUCUGGGUUUUCAACCUAACACUAAGUGUUAUUUUUUCUAAAUCUCAAAAAUCAUGAAAUUGAGUUCUCUCAAAACAUGUAAUUCCUUAUAAGUUGAAUGCUGAUAUCAUAAACUCAUGUUCUCACUCCAUUCUUCAAAACUAUAAUUUUGCAAAUUGAUUUUGUCACUGAAAAUUACAAUGAUGGUACUAUGGAUCUCGAUACUACCGAGGAAGAUCCUAUUGUUGGCAAUGUUGAUAUUGAAAACACUCACACUGAUGGCCUUGUUUAUACUGAAGACAUCCCUUCUACAGGUCUUAUUGGUAUGGCUAAUGAAGAGAUAUCACAACCAACUCCAACUCCUU
rnacentral:lncRNA from 1 species